UACGUAGGUGGCAAGCGUUGUCCGGAAUUAUUGGGCGUAAAGCGCGCGCAGGCGGUCCUUUAAGUCUAAUGUGAAAGCCCACGGCUCAACCGUGGGGGGUCAUUGGAAACUGGGGGACUUGAGUACAGAAGAGAAGAGUGGAAUUCCACGUGUAGCGGUGAAAUGCGUAGAGAUGUGGAGGAACACCUGCGGCGAAGGCGGGUUGCUGGGCUGACACUGACGCUGAUGCGCGAAAGCGUGGGGAGCAAACAGG
rnacentral:rRNA from 1 species